UACAGAGGUCGCGAGCGUUAAUCGGAUUUACUGGGCGUAAAGCGUGUGUAGGUGGUUGUUCAAGUCGGUUGUGAAAUCCCCGGGCUCAACCUGGGAACUGCUUCCGAGACUGAGCGACUAGAGAUCGGUAGAGGGCGGUGGAAUUUCCGGUGUAGCGGUGAAAUGCGUAGAUAUCGGGAAGAACAUCGGUGGCGAAGGCGGCCUGCUGGGCCGUUGCUGACGCUGAGGCGCGACAGCGUGGGGAGCAAACAGG
rnacentral:rRNA from 1 species